GACACUAUCCAGUGGGAUGAGAGGAAGACUGGACACCUUCAGUACUGUGUCUCUUCAGAGGAUCCUUCUUUACCGCUGGUUUGACUUGGUGUCGAAUGAGUGGUUGAUAGAGGAGUCCUGAAUGAGGCACAUUACCUGCAUUGUGAGGGAGCAUCAGUUACGGCACUAUGGCCAGUGUUGUGCAUGAACGUGUUCAAUGAACGGCAUUCAUUGAACAUGUUCAUAUUUUCCGUGAACGCUGAACUGAACGAAUCAGUUUACAAGUUAUGAACGUGAACGUGAGUGACGUUCGCUCUCGCGAGACUGAACGCUGCUCACGUUUUAUGACGGUUUUAAACUUUGCCGAUUACAGACUGGCGCUUCGAGUUCGGACGCUUCUGUUGAUGGUGGUUUGUUUAAACAUUUGAGAGAUUUAGAUGGGAACAACCACACGUUUUUAUGCAAAUUAUGCCCAACUGGUUUGAAAAAACAAGUCCGGACGUCAGGCACAUUUGCAUCCAAUUUGAAACGACACAUCGAGUUACACCUUCAAAGCAGUUUUAGGGAAUACCUUCAUCUUAAUGUGUGAACUGGCACCACACUGACUACGGCCAUGUGGCGCGUUUCCCUGACGGUGAUCCGGCUCUCAGGAUCCUCAUUGCUGAGGACCCAAGUGACUAGACCAGGCCAAGGGGACACCCAGUCACAGGAAGAAAUGUCACCGCAGUCUGAAGAUGCGUGUUUGAGUGUGUCAGUCCCCAUCCAGCCUUCCUCUGUGAGCCAUUGGGCUGAGAGUGGCUCAGAGAUGAUUCAGUGUCAACAUGAUUCAUCAUCCUAAGAGUAAACCACGCCUCUCAGGCAGGCAGAAGAGAUCGUGGGACACAUCACAGAAGGCCUCGAGAUAUCACAGGAGCUCUCCAUCAGUCUCCGGAGAUCGCAGGACACCCUCAAGACCACAGAAGCCCUCAAGGUGUCACAGAGGGCUUCAGAAAGCUCUUCUCUCUCCUCCAUCAAGACUAGGGGAUUGAGUCAUUAAGAGCUGUGGAAACUGGGAAAAGUAUCCAGAGACAUAAAGCCCCAGGGAAGUCCAGAGAAAGCUGGACCGGAAGAGUGAGAAAGACUCACAAGAACCACAGAGCCAACUGUGGCCAUAUUCACUGCAGGGGCAGGUGUGGGACAGCAGAGGCUCUGAGGGUUUGUGAAGUAAGCAUGUGGCAGUUCAGCCACGCCUGAUGAGAGGGCGGAGGGAUGGAGCCUAGUACUAAGGUGAAAGCCAGCACCCAUGCCAGACGUCUCAAAGGGUGUGGCAUGGGCUCUGGACUUGUCACCAGAAUGUUAUAGCUUCAAGUCCCAGCAGGUGUUUGAACAGGACAUUUGCUGAAUUGCUUACGUAGAGCCAGUUCAGAGUGUGCAGGUGCUGCACAGGUAAUUUUGCUUACAGGUUCAUGCCUUGCAAUGCAAUUAAUCCAUGAAUUGUGCCUAAAAUGUCUCUUAUUUCGUCAGCAGGAAAUUGAAUCCAUGGCAGUGCUCAGCUGGGGUGCCCUAACCCUCUACACAGGCUUGGGAACCAUCCCAAUAAAUUGCUUGAUAUUA